rnacentral:rRNA from 1 species
UACGGAGGAUCCAAGCGUUAUCCGGAAUCAUUGGGUUUAAAGGGUGCGUAGGUGGGCAAGUAAGUCAGUGGUGAAAUCUCCGGGCUUAACCCGGAAACUGCCAUUGAUACUAUUUGUCUUGAAUACUGUGGAGGUCAGCGGAAUAUGUCAUGUAGCGGUGAAAUGCUUAGAUAUGACAUAGAACACCAAUUGCGAAGGCAGCUUACUACGGAUUGAUUGACACUGAGGCACGAAAGCGUGGGGAUCAAACAGG